GUGCUGUGUUCAGAGCACAGCCUCACAAGAAGGUGCUGUGUUCAGAGCACAGCCUACAAGAAGGUGCUGUGAUCAGAGCACAGCU